AACUUUCACCAUUUCUCCCAAUUAUCUUCCUCUCAUCUCUCAUCUCAUAUCAUUGCUAUCAAUCUCACUCUACCUGUACCCAUUUGGAAAUCACUUCAUUCUCUACCACACCACAAAUUUUAUUGAAUUUCCGUAAGAACAACAUCGUGGAUGAACUCUUCGUUUGUUGGUUCCAUAAGGUGCGCAUUGAAAGAGCAGAGAAGAACACCCAGAGUAGAGAAGAACACCUACUCUGCACACCGCCAUAGCAGCUUAAUGAUCCGAGCAACAAACUUCGGCAACCAUGGCGAUACAGAGAGCUUUCAUAAGAAACAAUCUAACUACUACGGCAAAAAAGAAAAAAUAAAAGAAAAAAGAAAAGAAGGAAUACAACUCAAUAUCUACUCUAGAAACAUUCCUAGAUGCACAUGCAGACGGUUGACGAAGUAUAAAAUCUUCAUCGUCCAUGGUUGAUACAGACAGUGUUCUUAAGAUCCGGCCAAGAAGACAUAGAAAGAGUCAACACUGAGUUGGAUUGAGCAGUUGACUGAAGAAGCUGAGCCAGGUAAACCAAAGCUUCAAAGAUGGCUAGAUAAUUUUGGGGUGCAAUAUGGCAAAUAAGAUUAGAUGCUUACCUCCCGAUCAUGGAACACGCAUUCUCGACAUUUGACAACCUCACUGCCGCUACAUUCUCUAACUCCAUAUGUACGAAUACAUCUUACCUUCAACGCACAAGUGGUUUUCAUGGGUGUUAUCUGAUUGGCCAAAAUGUAGAGAGGAGGCAUACUUGAACUGGUAUUUUUAACUGAUCUAACAAAGUGUUUGUAGUGAUGUAGAAUUACCGGGAUGUAUAUGAAAUGAUAUUAGACUCCUUUUAUAAGCCAUGAAUUAGAGUUCUAUUAU